GCUCGGCGAGCUAGCUAGCUGAGCGUGUCGUUUCGCGAAUGUUUGUGACGGUCGACGAAAGCAGUCAAUAUCCUUCUACAUCGGGGCUAUAACAAUCUUUCAAAAUGGUGGUGGGCAGGACAUCAAAGAUGGUACAGUACAUCAACUACAGGAUGAGGGUCAACCUGCAGGAUGGACGCACAUUCAUUGGUACAUUCCUUGCCUUUGACAAACACAUGAACAUUGUUCUUGGUGACUGUGAAGAGUUCAGAAAGCUUAGAGCCAAGAGUGCCAAGGCCCCUGCCAAAGAGGAGAAGAGAGUACUUGGCCUGGUCCUGCUUCGAGGAGAACAUCUCGUUUCCAUGACAGUAGAAGGACCAGCAAAAGACUCAGGUCCAAGAGUACCUAUGCCUGGUGGUGGAGGUGGACCUGGUAUGGCCCGUGCUGCUGGACGUGGUAUCCCAGCAGCUUCUGCCUCGAUGUCAGCACCAGCAGGACUGUCUGGACCCGUCAGGGGGGUCGGCGGCCCAUCACAAUCACACAUGGCUCCUAUGGGUGGACCAGGAGGCUUCCCACCAAGGGGACCACCAAGAGGACCUCCAGGUAUGGGACCACCUGGCAUGGGACCGCCCGGUAUGGGACCACCAGGAGGAUUCCGAGGAGGGCCACCUAUGGGACGAGGAAUGCCCCCAAUGGGGGGGUAUGGGACCGCCCCCUGGCAUGAGAGGUCCACCAAGGAAUUAGUGUUGAACAUCAUCAAUGUUUUGUAAAUAGUUUAAUAUCCUGUGUGAGAGAGCGCCAUCCAGUUCAGAAGGGAUGAUUGUUUUUUAUUCGAGGAAGACAUCGGCUCCAGCGUAAUAUUGCUGCAACGGAUUGGGCUCUUAGGGGGUGUUGGAUGAAAUUUUCUACCAUCACUUUAGGUACAGUACAGUGCAUAUUUACAAUUGCUCGCAAAUAUUUUUGUCAACACCCCCAAGACAUCUAGGGCCCUUUUCAUAAAGAGUUGCAACUUUUGCCAUAAUGGCAAAGUUACAACAGUUAUAACUCUUUAUGAAACAGGCUCCUAGUCUAUUUCGUUGGUUGUUCAGCAAAGUCUAAAAUUAGAUUAUGUCCAAAUAUGAAGUAAAAGAUACCUUGAUAAUGUUAUGAAAGGAAAAUGAAUAUUUUGACAAGAUAUUCUAAAUUGACAUACAUUUUCUUCGAGAGCUGUUACUAAGCUUAUACAUGUUGAAUACAGUACCCAGCAUGACUAGUAAGCAUUUUGAUGUUCUCGGGGCAUCCAUGUAUUUGGAACAAAUCUAAUUUAAUUAGAAUUUUUCUCGACCAGAGGGGGGUAUAAGGUGCUUUUUAUAUUUCAUUGAAUUUCUGUUCUUGUAAGAUUUAUUUUCUUUUUAACACUUAUGUGAAGCAUUCCUUUGUAUUCUUAACUGUGUUGAAGCUUUUAAAUUUACAAAUGACCUCAAACUCAAAUUUUCUUUGGAAGUGGGAGGCAGCAACAGAAAUAGCUCUAGAUUACAUACACAUGCCAAAUUAAUAAUAGAUUGGAUUAUGUUCAUAAAAUUAAAUCUCUUAAGA
rnacentral:misc_RNA from 1 species